CAAACGGCUGGGAUGAAGAGAGUACGGAUUUGCGUCAGUCCAGAGAGUCGGUGGUUGGUGUGAACCGAUCUGAACAGAUACCGGAAGUACACUUCGGAGCCGCAUGGUGAACUCCUAAGGGAUAUUAGCCAUUGCCGGAAGCGUCUCGUACGUUUUCGUUAUUUCAAUGAAGUGAAGGCAUUCGUGCCUUUAUUAGGGUGGUACCGCGAGUAUGUCUCGUCCCUUGU
rnacentral:ncRNA from 1 species